AGUGAACGCUGGCGGUAGGCCUAACACAUGCAAGUCGAACGGCAGCACAGUAAGAGCUUGCUCUUACGGGUGGCGAGUGGCGGACGGGUGAGGAAUACAUCGGAAUCUACUUUUUCGUGGGGGAUAACGUAGGGAAACUUACGCUAAUACCGCAUACGACCUACGGGUGAAAGCAGGGGAUCUUCGGACCUUGCGCGAUUGAAUGAGCCGAUGUCGGAUUAGCUAGUUGGCGGGGUAAAGGCCCACCAAGGCGACGAUCCGUAGCUGGUCUGAGAGGAUGAUCAGCCACACGGGAACUGAGACACGGUCCAGACUCCUACGGGAGGCAGCAGUGGGGAAUAUUGGACAAUGGGCGCAAGCCUGAUCCAGCCAUACCGCGUGGGUGAAGAAGGCCUUCGGGUUGUAAAGCCCUUUUGUUGGGAAAGAAAAGCAGCAGGUUAAUACCCCGCUGUUCUGACGGUACCGAAAGAAUAAGCACCGGCUAACUACGUG
rnacentral:rRNA from 1 species